rnacentral:rRNA from 1 species
UACGAAGGGGGCUAGCGUUGCUCGGAAUUACUGGGCGUAAAGGGCGCGUAGGCGGAUAUUUAAGUUGGGGGUGAAAUCCCGGGGCUCAACCUCGGAAUUGCCUUCAAAACUGGAUAUCUUGAGUUCGGGAGAGGUGAGUGGAACUCCGAGUGUAGAGGUGAAAUUCGUAGAUAUUCGGAAGAACACCAGUGGCGAAGGCGACUCACUGGCCCGAUACUGGCGCUGAGGCGCGAAAGCGUGGGGAGCAAACAGG